rnacentral:lncRNA from 1 species
UACGACUCGCUAUGCUUCGAAAAACCAUCAUUCAAUAACAUGGCAGCGAAAUUGUACAUCGUUGUCGCUGUUAUGGCGUACUUCAUAGUAUCAGGAAGUUGCACAUUUUUGCCAAUUUUUAGAACUUAUUAUCCUCCCACAUCCUCUGGAUAUCCAAGAUCUAAUGGCCAAGGAGCAGCAGUAAAUGUAAACCCAGUGAACAAUGCAAAGUCGUCAAGCAGAGCCAACCCCUCUACAUAUCAGAACGCGAGAUUGGAUUCGGGCGGACAAGUACCAUUCCCAAUUUAUUUCUGAAGGUAAAUAGCCUCUGUGGAGUCAACAAAUAUAUUUAAAUAAAUAUCUAAGUUGACUGAAUU